GGAAGCGGGUGAGCGAGAUGCCUGCAGCCAAGCGGUUGCGGCUGGACGCGGGACCCCAGAGCCUGUCCGGGAAGUCGACACCCCAGCCGCCAUCGGGCAAGACAACACCCAGCAGCGGCGACGUGCAGGUGACUGAGGAUGCCGUGCGCCGCUACCUGACACGGAAGCCGAUGACCACUAAGGACCUGCUGAAAAAGUUCCAGACCAAGAAGA
rnacentral:sRNA from 1 species